UCUCGCACCUCUCGCACAUAGCGUCCAUUAUUUGUUCUCUCCUCCCCAGCUAGGGUUCACGACGCCGCCGCCGCCGCCGCCCGCGCUCGUGCUCUCUCUCUUCAUCUCCCAUCCCGAGCUGGACCUCCUCCAACCACAUCUCCCCUGAUCUUCUCGAUCGAUUUGGAUCUCAGGAGCGAACCGGAGGAAGGCCAGGUGCCCGUUGCCGAGACAGGGGCGAUGAGAAGUGGGUCGCCGCCGCCGCCGCCAUCCCGGCUCAAAGCGGCGACCCAAGGAGGAGCUCCGGACUCACAGGAGGAGCUCAAGCAGCGGCGGUGGUCCACAACGCCAUCAUGGUCUUCCUCUGCAGGAGCAGCGCGGGCCAUAGAGACGUCCUGCCCCAGCGUCGCCGCCCGUCCACCCGACGAACGAGAGAGGCAUCAAGGGGGAGAUGCACGGCAGAGAUGCACACGCUCUUCCCUGUGGGAUGACGGUGGUGUUCCUUCCUCCAACAAAAUUCCAGCCCCUUGAUACAUAGUCAGAUUCAGCCCCACACCAGCGAGUGCUUAUGGCGACGACGAUGACAAAGCAAGCUGACUGCUACUUCCGGAGUAUUACUGGAUGAUGCUUUGUACAGCAGCAACACACACGUACACAACAGCCUCUGCUGAUCGAUUCUGUGGCCGGCCAAAAAACGCUGUGCAGGCCAACAAAAUCAAUUGGACUGCCACAGGUGCCUGCUGUUUGCUUUAUUACUAAAUUCAUGGUAUGCAGGGUACAUGCAUGUAUGGAUCAAUACUUGAAUAGUUGGACUGCUGACUGAAUAGGUUCAUAUGUGAAAACAGCAUUUUUUAAGCAUAAGAGCAUUAUACUUAUUCAGAUUUGGUUGGAACAUACAUACACCAGCUAGGCCAAUUGCUUUUUUCAUGCAACUGUUAUCAUGCAUUGAUGUAGCAAUAUUUUAAGGGAAUGUUAGAAGUGUCUUGCUUAGCAUUUUCUUUUUGUUUCAAAGAAAAGUGGUUAUUGAUGUAAACUUAGCAUCAGGGCUGUACCACGGGAAUCUAGGCCCCGGAGCAAAUCACAAUUUAGGCCCCAUGUAUAAUAAAGACAAUUAAAAUUUAAUUUUACUAAUCACUGCAGAUUUGUGGUAGUAUUGAUUUCUCAAAGAAUUACAUCACACCGAAAGAAAAAUCUUCGAGCCAUUAGGAUGCCAAGGGUGUCAUAGAUUUUUUUUUAAUAUUUGCUAGAAUGGUGCACAGAUUCAAGAAAGAACAAUAAAUCAAUUUAAGAACAGAUAGGUGAAAAGGGAAGAAACGACCUUUGGUUGUUGAGUAAUGAUUAUGAAACAACUUCUGCUCCAGGGAUUGGGUCGAGCCGGUGACCAAGCAGGGAGAUUCCAAUCAUCUGAAUUUUUGAUGGAGUCCAUUGGAUGGAUCAAUGGAAGAAGAGGUAGAAAAGCGCCUAGUAAUUGAUACUGGUAGUUCCUUGGUGAACUUGCCAUCAAUGGCUUUCUUCUUCGAUAAAUGUAAGCCAUUGGAGGAAGGAGACGAAGAGGCUGGGAGUUAAUUUCCAGCGAAUUAAUCUGGGGAUUUGAUUUGCUGGUGGGCACUGAGGAACAGUUAAUUUCCAGCGAAUUAAUCUGGAGAAUUCGAUGCGUCUGGUAAUCUGCUUCGAGAGUUCUCCUUUGGGCUAUGAAAAAGAGACUAGUAGUUUGGUUGUGGGCCUCGGUGGGUAGUGGUUACACAGUUAGCUGCCAGUAGUACUAUUUCUUUCUCUUUACAAUCUCACGGUUCAUUUAUUUGUAUUCCCCCCGCUCAACUUUUUUAUCUGUAGUCCUCUCAUUAAUACAUGCUUAGACAAAUUAGAGGCCCCAAAAAUUUUGGGGCCCUGUGCAGCUGCUCCGGUUGCACAUGCAGAGAUACGGCCCUGCUUGGCAUCAAGACAAUUUAAGUAUAUUCAAUAAUGCAGGGGAUGUUAAAUCUACUGUUAUUUGUGAAUAGUACUCUCUUUUUUGCUAUGGUUCCAUUUGUGGUUUCUCAUGUAGCAAUGUCAUGGUUCGUUAAAUCUUUCACACACAAUGAAAUGUUUAGGAAACUCGAUCCAGUAAAGUGGAGUGUUAAUUUAUCUAAAUACGUUUAGUAAGUUCAUCAUGUAGCAAAUUUUGCCAUAAAAUUUGUCAUGAAAGUAUACUUUAUCGGCACUAUUUUCCUAUAUAUAUUAUUUCUGUGCUAGACAUUUUUCAGCUAACUAGAAAAAAAAUACAUCACCUGAAAAGACUACGUACGUAACUCAAUAGUUAAUCCAGUGCCACAUGUAGAAGUAGACUGGUUACAGAAUCUUUCCAACAAUCUGGCAAGUACUGCAUAUAUCUAACUUGUUACAGAAUGCAAAUGACGGAAGAACUCUGACAAGUGCACCUUGAUCCUUACUGAAGGAGAUUCAACAAAGGCUUUGGCUAUGGCGGAUGGGAUCACUAUGGUGUGUUUCCUCUCAGGGGUAAAUUUAAAUGUGAGAGAAGCAAGCCAUAAGCAGUUAAUGGGGAAUGCAGAGAUCCAAAAUAUAAAGAAAAUAUUAGGUCUGCAACAUGAAAAGAAGUAUGAUAGCACGAAAGGCUUGAGAUAUGACCACCUUAUGAUAAUGACAGAUUAGGUUUGCCCGACAACUUUUUCAGGACAAUGCAUGAGAUAGCAUUUGCAUCUACUAAUAAGCCAAAGCUACUUAGCCAGAUUAGUGGUGUGUGGAUUAAGAUUUCAGCCAUGGGUGACUUUGCCUUCAUAGCUGGGGCAUAUGCUUUCGAAAUCUUUGUCCAUCGUUGAUUUAGCUGUGUAAUCCCUUUGCUGGACAGGAAAGCAUGAUCGCUUGGACAUCAUAAGCAAUUUGUGAUGCCGAGGAUCUUGUAGAGGAUUUAGGAAAGUGAAUUCCAACAUUAUUGAAGCAAAAUUGGUGAAGUUGAAUGAGGAUUGGAGAUGGCGUGUAACCUACUUACACAUAGAUGGAGACUCGGGAUGGCUGAUCUACACAGGCGUGGGCACCAUGUUUAUUACUCUUUGUUACCCAACAUAAUUUCCGUUUAUAAAUUUAGCUAGCGGCCGUGCACAUCUUGAGGUGUCCGUCAACUCCAAACACAAGCCCCAUUCCCCUGUAUGACUAAAUUCAGGUAUUCGUGAGGUGAAUAAGAUAUAUAAUGAUAAAACCUGUAGUUUUGUUAUCAAUGGUUUUGCAUUGUGUCUUGCUGCAAAUGAAUUAAUUGUUUUUUGCAUGUCUAAUUUUUACGAUGUGUUGAGGCCUUCAUAAUGUUAAUUUUGAAUUUAAGAACUGUGCUCUUAAGAUAUGUCCUUUAACCAUUUGUUUUCUUCUUUUGCCGAUUUCAAGAAAUAGUUCCUUUAAAUGUUGGAAAUGUUCUUGGUACUAAAGACAAUGUUGCAGCAAAGAAGUGGGUAUCACUUAUUGAUGACCAGGUGAUGAAUAUAUUGGUAGGGAUACAUGUAAUGGACCAUAUUUUUCACCAUUCCCAUAUGGCUAUGGACUUGAACACCUAUGGAAGAAGAAGAUGUGUAGCCAAAUACUUCUAGGUAUUAUCUGUUGGCAUGUUCCAUGAAAAUUCACAUAUGCAAAUGUUUCUGCUCAGUAGUCCUAGGCGCAUGUUUGAUCUUUGCUGGUCAACUUUUGUUAAUAUAGACUCUGAUUGUUCUGUAAAGAUAUGCCUUCCAUACCUCAUAACUACUUCACUCUCUUCUAGGAGUACUAUAUAUAUGCAUGUGAUAUUCACUAUACCUUUUCUCAUUGCCCAUUACUUCACGUGCAAUAUAACAUAUGUAAGUCAUCUAUCUACUGAUUCUGUUAUAUAAAGCUUUCCUUCCCGCUCUACUUAUUAUAGUAUGUACUUCCUGUCAUGAUUGCAGUAUGUAGCAGCCAAGGUGAUAUGCACGAGCCAAGGUGAUACUGAGGAACUUCUUAGUUCAUACCGAUUACAUGAGUAUAGAGGACAAGUUUGUUAAAUGUUCAUGUUUUGUUAUUGCCAGUGACUUGAUAUGCAUGUGUUCUGAUGAUCCAACAAACACUGCCUCUUUUGGUGAUCACCCACCUUUUGGAGCAUGUUGAACUUUGAUUUCAAUCCAUGUCCGUGUCUUUAUGAUCAGUCAUUGACAUUGUGAGACUGUCACCUCUGUGUUAAUAUAGAGCUAUUAUUAGCUCACUCUGCUUUAUGAUUGAAGACUCUGCUGCUACUAUUCUA